GCCGGGUGUGGUGGCGCACACCUGUAAUCCCAGCUACUCAGGAGGCAGAGGUAGGAGGAUUGCUUGAACCCGGGAGGUGGAGGUUGCAGUGAGCCAAGAUCAUGCCACUGCACUCCAGCUUGAGUGACAGAGUGAGACUCCAUCUCAA
rnacentral:SRP_RNA from 1 species